rnacentral:lncRNA from 1 species
GGGGACCAGGGCGAGGAGAGGAGCAGGCUUCUCCAGGAACGGCGCUUUGCAGGCGCUGGGGAUUCAAGUUAGACCGGGUGGCGGUGCAGAGGCGCCACCCGGGAGAGGGGAGCCACCACGGCUCCCGACAUGGCUCUUUUCAUGUGGGAUGCUUAAGCACGGCACACAGAGAGAGUAACUUGCAGGAGACAGAAACUGGCAUGAGGAUUCUGCCACCAUGGAAGGGCUCCUGUCUCCGAUGAGGACGAAGUAAAAUAAUCAGAUGAGCAGCAUUUCAC